CUCCUGUCGGCUUCCUCCUCUACAUACUACAUAGAUGCUACCGCCAUCGCCACUCCUCAGCCGCUGUCAUCCCUCUCUCUUUCUCUCUCUCUGGGAUGCAGAUCUAAGCGAUUUUGAUAUGUCGGAGAUCACGGUGAUGGUCCCUCAUCGCUGCCCAUCUCCAUCAUCUACGUCGCUGUCUCUGUCUCUUGCCCAUUUUCGUGCCAUCUCUGCCGCCGUACCUCGAAACCCUAGAAAUUUAUCACCACUGUGAGGAUUCGCAACGACUCCUUCGAGUUAGAGUAGAACAACCAUAGUCGGAGCUGUAAACAAGCACUUCUUCUAAGUUUUGGUCCUAGGGGAGAUCUCUGGCUUUAGCCGACUGGGCAUCGAUCUCUCGUAAGUUGAUUUGGACUCCAUCUUCUGGUGAAGAUGAGGUAUUUAAACAAAGAUCCUUGUUGAGGCACUUAUCAAAAGCAGACCCCCAAUUCGAAAGAUACCUCUUUGAUUUCUUAAAGAACUUUCAACUCCAAUCCCAACCAGCUCAUUAGGAUUUGAAUCCCCAAUUCAAUUCGGUGUUGAAGAAUAAGAUUGUCCUCUGGUCCAGAAUUGAAGAAGAUCUACGUGCGGGACCAGGCUUAUGCUGUUGCUUGGAGGUCUGUCUUGUCAAGCCAACUGAUGUGCCUCCCAAGGAGGUUCCCAAGUGUUUCUGUGGUCAAGUCAAGUGCACAUGAUGUCUGUCUUUAUCUUCUCUUUCUUUUGCUUAACAAGACUUUUGUUUAGUCUGUAUAUGAGGCUAAGUCCCUUUUUGUUUUGUUUGUAAGUGGGUGACGUAAGACAAUGAUAUAUAUGUACUUAUGACGUCACUAUAUAAAUAUAUAUGUGAAUAUAAGUUUUAAAUUUUCUGUCUCAUAUACGUCUACACAGCUCUAUGGACAUUGUAUUUUGAUAUUUGCUUCCGCUUGCCCCUUAUUUUGUUAAUAUGACUUAGAGGCCUUUGGUAAUCUUAGGAUUAUUGACCGGUUACGAUGCACAACCUAUAGGGGCGGGUUUGGGUCGUGACAGAACCCCAGAAGCCAAGCUGUCCAACGUCAAAUUCUACUCACAAUGCAUUGCCAAACACCCCAAAGACGGGUGCUAAAGAAUCUCUAGUUGAGAACACCAAGGCACUAUCAUCCCUUGUUGCUCGAGUUCUUCCAUGCAACUUAGCGCAUCUUCAUCUUCUUUUUCUUUUUCUCCAUCGUGAGUCUCUUUUGGUCUCAUCACCCACAAG